GCCGUAGCUCAGUGGCAGAGCAGCAUCUGCUUUGUGUGAUGAAGGUCCUAGGUUCAAUCCUUGGCAUCUCCA